GCCCAUGUAGCUCAGUGGUAGAGCGUUCCCUUGGUAAGGGAGAGGUCGCCAGUUCAAUCCUGGCUAUGGGCACCA
rnacentral:tRNA from 1 species